rnacentral:rRNA from 1 species
CAAGUCGAACGAUUAAGACUUCCUUCGGGAAGUGUAUAAAGUGGCGCACGGGUGAGUAACACGUAAGUAAUCUACCUUCGAGUGGGGAAUAACGUUCGGAAACGAACGCUAAUACCGCAUAAUGCAGCGGCAUCGCAAGAUGACAGUUGUUAAAGGAAUUUAUUUCGCUUGAAGAGGAGCUUGCGGCAGAUUAGCUAGUUGGUAAGGUAACGGCUUACCAAGGCUACGAUCUGUAUCCGGUCUAAGAGGACGGUCGGACACACUGACACUGAAUAACGGGUCAGACUCCUACGGGAGGCAGCAGUCGGGAAUUUUGGGCAAUGGGCGAAAGCCUGACCCAGCAACGCCGCGUGAAGGAUGAAGUAUUUCGGUAUGUAAACUUCGAAAGAAUGGGAAGAAUAAAUGACGGUACCAUUUAUAAGCUCCGGCUAACUACGUGCCAGCAGCCGCGGUAAUACGUAGGGAGCAAGCGUUGUUCGGAUUUACUGGGCGUAAAGGGCGCGUAGGCGGCGCGGUAAGUCACUUGUGAAAUCUCUGAGCUUAACUCAGAACGGCCAAGUGAUACUGCAGUGCUAGAGUGCAGAAGGGGCAAUCGGAAUUCUUGGUGUAGCGGUGAAAUGCGUAGAUAUCAAGAGGAACACCUGAGGUGAAGACGGGUUGCUGGGCUGACACUGACGCUGAGGCGCGAAAGCCAGGGGAGCAAACGGGAUUAGAUACCCCGGUAGUCCUGGCCCUAAACAAUGAAUACUUGGUGUCUGGAGUUUCAAGACUUCGGGUGCCGUCGCUAACGUUUUAAGUUAUUCCGCCUGGGGGAGUACGCUCGCAGA